rnacentral:rRNA from 1 species
GACGAACGCUGGCGGCGUGCUUAACACAUGCAAGUCGAACGCUGAAGCCCUUUCGGGGGUGGAUGAGUGGCGAACGGGUGAGUAACACGUGGGUAAUCUGCCCUGUACUUCGGGAUAAGCCAUGGAAACGGGGUCUAAUACCGGAUAGGACCUGUCCUCGCAUGGGGGUGGGUGGAAAGUUCCGGCGGUAUGGGAUGAGCCCGCGGCCGAUCAGCUUGUUGGUGGGGUAGUGGCCUACCAAGGCGACGACGGGUCGCCGGCCUGAGAGGGUGACCGGUCACACUGGGACCGAGACACGGCCCAGACUCCUACGGGAGGCAGCAGUGGGGAAUCUUGCGCAAUGGGCGAAAGCCUGACGCAGCAACGCCGCGUGGGGGAUGACGGCCUUCGGGUUGUAAACCUCUUUCGACAUCGACGAAGGGGCCCUGUUGUGGGGUUUUGACGGUAGGUGUAGAAGAAGCACCGGCUAACUACGUGCCAGCAGCCGCAGUAA